rnacentral:rRNA from 1 species
GGUCAAGUGAAGAAGCGCAUACGGUGGAUGCCUUGGCAGUCAGAGGCGAUGAAAGACGUGGUAGCCUGCGAAAAGCUUCGGGGAGUCGGCAAACAGACUUUGAUCCGGAGAUCUCUGAAUGGGGGAACCCACCUAGGAUAACCUAGGUAUCUUGUACUGAAUCCAUAGGUGCAAGAGGCGAACCAGGGGAACUGAAACAUCUAAGUACCCUGAGGAAAAGAAAUCAACCGAGAUUCCCUUAGUAGUGGCGAGCGAACGGGGAUUAGCCCUUAAGCUUCAUUGAUUUUAGCGGAACGCUCUGGAAAGUGCGGCCAUAGUGGGUGAUAGCCCCGUACGCGAAAGGAUCUUUGAAGUGAAAUCGAGUAGGACGGAGCACGAGAAACUUUGUCUGAACAUGGGGGGACCAUCCUCCAAGGCUAAAUACUACUGACUGACCGAUAGUGAACCAGUACCGUGAGGGAAAGGCGAAAAGAACCCCGGAGAGGGGAGUGAAAUAGAACCUGAAACCGUAUGCGUACAAGCAGUGGGAGCCUACUUGUUAGGUGACUGCGUACCUUUUGUAUAAUGGGUCAGCGACUUAUAUUCAGUGGCAAGCUUAACCGUAUAGGGUAGGCGUAGCGAAAGCGAGUCUUAAUAGGGCGUUUAGUCGCUGGGUAUAGACCCGAAACCGGGCGAUCUAUCCAUGAGCAGGUUGAAGGUUAGGUAACACUGACUGGAGGACCGAACCCACUCCCGUUGAAAAGGUAGGGGAUGACUUGUGGAUCGGAGUGAAAGGCUAAUCAAGCUCGGAGAUAGCUGGUUCUCCUCGAAAGCUAUUUAGGUAGCGCCUCAUGUAUCACUCUGGGGGGUAGAGCACUGUUUCGGCUAGGGGGUCAUCCCGACUUACCAAACCGAUGCAAACUCCGAAUACCCAGAAGUGCCGAGCAUGGGAGACACACGGCGGGUGCUAACGUCCGUCGUGAAAAGGGAAACAACCCAGACCGCCAGCUAAGGUCCCAAAGUUGUGGUUAAGUGGUAAACGAUGUGGGAAGGCUUAGACAGCUAGGAGGUUGGCUUAGAAGCAGCCAUCCUUUAAAGAAAGCGUAAUAGCUCACUAGUCGAGUCGGCCUGCGCGGAAGAUGUAACGGGGCUCAAACCACACACCGAAGCUGCGGGUGUCACGUANNNNNNNNNNNNNNNNNNNNNNNNNNNNNNNNNNNNNNNNNNNNNNNNNNNNNNNNNNNNNNNNNNNNNNNNNNNNNNNNNNNNNNNNNNNNNNNNNUAAGUGACGCGGUAGAGGAGCGUUCUGUAAGCCUGUGAAGGUGAGUUGAGAAGCUUGCUGGAGGUAUCAGAAGUGCGAAUGCUGACAUGAGUAACGACAAUGGGUGUGAAAAACACCCACGCCGAAAGACCAAGGGUUCCUGCGCAACGUUAAUCGACGCAGGGUUAGUCGGUUCCUAAGGCGAGGCUGAAAAGCGUAGUCGAUGGGAAACAGGUUAAUAUUCCUGUACUUCUGGUUACUGCGAUGGAGGGACGGAGAAGGCUAGGCCAGCUUGGCGUUGGUUGUCCAAGUUUAAGGUGGUAGGCUGAAAUCUUAGGUAAAUCCGGGGUUUCAAGGCCGAGAGCUGAUGACGAGUCGUCUUUUAGAUGACGAAGUGGUUGAUGCCAUGCUUCCAAGAAAAGCUUCUAAGCUUCAGGUAACCAGGAACCGUACCCCAAACCGACACAGGUGGUCGGGUAGAGAAUACCAAGGCGCUUGAGAGAACUCGGGUGAAGGAACUAGGCAAAAUGGCACCGUAACUUCGGGAGAAGGUGCGCCGGCUAGGGUGAAGGAUUUACUCCGUAAGCUCUGGCUGGUCGAAGAUACCAGGCCGCUGCGACUGUUUAUUAAAAACACAGCACUCUGCAAACACGAAAGUGGACGUAUAGGGUGUGACGCCUGCCCGGUGCCGGAAGGUUAAUUGAUGGGGUUAGCGCAAGCGAAGCUCUUGAUCGAAGCCCCGGUAAACGGCGGCCGUAACUAUAACGGUCCUAAGGUAGCGAAAUUCCUUGUCGGGUAAGUUCCGACCUGCACGAAUGGCGUAACGAUGGCGGCGCUGUCUCCACCCGAGACUCAGUGAAAUUGAAAUCGCUGUGAAGAUGCAGUGUAUCCGCGGCUAGACGGAAAGACCCCGUGAACCUUUACUGUAGCUUUGCACUGGACUUUGAGCCUGCUUGUGUAGGAUAGGUGGGAGGCUUUGAAGCGUGGACGCCAGUUCGCGUGGAGCCAUCCUUGAAAUACCACCCUGGCAUGCUUGAGGUUCUAACUCUGGUCCGUGAUCCGGAUCGAGGACAGUGUAUGGUGGGCAGUUUGACUGGGGCGGUCUCCUCCUAAAGAGUAACGGAGGAGUACGAAGGUGCGCUCAGACCGGUCGGAAAUCGGUCGCAGAGUAUAAAGGCAAAAGCGCGCUUGACUGCGAGACAGACACGUCGAGCAGGUACGAAAGUAGGUCUUAGUGAUCCGGUGGUUCUGUAUGGAAGGGCCAUCGCUCAACGGAUAAAAGGUACUCCGGGGAUAACAGGCUGAUACCGCCCAAGAGUUCAUAUCGACGGCGGUGUUUGGCACCUCGAUGUCGGCUCAUCACAUCCUGGGGCUGAAGCCGGUCCCAAGGGUAUGGCUGUUCGCCAUUUAAAGUGGUACGCGAGCUGGGUUUAGAACGUCGUGAGACAGUUCGGUCCCUAUCUGCCGUGGACGUUUGAGAUUUGAGAGGGGCUGCUCCUAGUACGAGAGGACCGGAGUGGACGAACCUCUGGUGUUCCGGUUGUCACGCCAGUGGCAUUGCCGGGUAGCUAUGUUCGGAAAAGAUAACCGCUGAAAGCAUCUAAGCGGGAAACUUGCCUCAAGAUGAGAUCUCACUGGGAACUUGAUUCCCCUGAAGGGCCGUCGAAGACUACGACGUUGAUAGGCUGGGUGUGUAAGCGUUGUGAGGCGUUGAGCUAACCAGUACUAAUUGCCCGUGAGGCUUGACCAU